rnacentral:lncRNA from 1 species
AGACAUAUUUUUCAUUGAGUGCAUCAGAUUCUGAUACUUGGAUAUUAGAUACUACCUAUGGAUCAUAUAUAUAUAAUUCAUUACAGUGACUACAGAAUAUCAAAGGUCUGAAAAGAGAUGAUCUUGAGCUUUAUGGUGCAAAUAGAGAGUCCAUUAGUGCAGAGGCUGUGGGAACCUAUAUACUUAAUUUAUCUUCAAACAAAAUUUUGAAAUUAAAAGACUGAUAUUACAUACCUA